CGGCUAACUACGUGCCAGCAGCCGCGGUAAUACGUAGGCAGCAAGCGUUGUUCGGAGUUACUGGGCGUAAAGGGUGUGUAGGCGGCCCUCUAAGUUUGGUGUGAAAUCUCCCGGCUUAACCGGGAGGGUGCGCCGAAGACUGGGGGGCUAGAGUAUGGGAUGGGAGAGUGGAAUUCCUGGUGUAGCGGUGAAAUGCGUAGAUAUCAGGAGGAACACCUGCGGUGUAGACGGCUCUCUGGACCAUAACUGACGCUGAGACACGAAAGCGUGGGUAGCAAACAGGAUUAGAUACCCUGGUAGUCCACGCCCUAAACGAUGCAUACUUGGUGUGGGCCAUUCAUUUGGUCCGUGCCGGAGCUAACGCGUUAAGUAUGCCGCCUGGGGAGUACAGUCGCAAGGCUGAAACUCAAAGGAAUUGACG
rnacentral:rRNA from 1 species